AACGGGGGGAACUAACGUUAUUCAUCAUAACUGGGCGUAAAGGGUACGUAGGUGGUUUAUAAAGUCUUAAUUAAAAAAACUAAGCGUAACUUAGAAAUUAAUUAUUAUACUAAUAUUCUAGAGGUUAAAAGAGGAUUGUUAUAUUCUUAAAGAAGGGGUAAAAUUCUAAGAUAAUAAGAAGAUAUCUUUAAAGCGAAAGCUACUUUCCAUUUUAGUACUGACACUGAGGUACGAAGGCAUGGGGAUCAAACGGG
rnacentral:rRNA from 1 species